rnacentral:rRNA from 1 species
GACGAACGCUGGCGGCGUGCUUAACACAUGCAGGUCGAACGGAAAGGCCCUGCUUUUGUGGGGUGCUCGAGUGGCGAACGGGUGAGUAACACGUGAGUAACCUGCCCUUGACUUUGGGAUAACUUCAGGAAACUGGGGCUAAUACCGGAUAGGAGCUCCUGCUGCAUGGUGGGGGUUGGAAAGUUUCGGCGGUUGGGGAUGGACUCGCGGCUUAUCAGCUUGUUGGUGGGGUAGUGGCUUACCAAGGCUUUGACGGGUAGCCGGCCUGAGAGGGUGACCGGCCACAUUGGGACUGAGAUACGGCCCAGACUCCUACGGGAGGCAGCAGUGGGGAAUAUUGCACAAUGGGCGGAAGCCUGAUGCAGCAACGCCGCGUGCGGGAUGACGGCCUUCGGGUUGUAAACCGCUUUCGCCUGUGACGAAGCGUGAAUGACGGUAAUGGGUAAAGAAGCACCGGCUAACUACGUG